UUCCCCUGUCACCAGGCUUCCCCUCAGAGUUACCGAUGCGAGGCCGUGGGCGGCAGGGCCAGCUCAUCUCACGCGACACAGCCGCAGCAGCCUUUCUGCACGUCUGAGAUGCGAGAGGGCCGCUCCCCCACGCGUCAGGGGCAAAGACCGUUCCCACACCCACGGGAGUAAGGCGGCUGCGGCCCUCCCCAGCCCGCGGCUCCUGAGUCUGAGGCAUUGGCCACAGUAGUGUGAUAUAUUCAAGAUGGCGGGCUGCUGGGAAGAGCAGAGGGAGGCAGCCUGGCCAGCGUCAACCACUGCCUUCGUUUCCCAUCACUUCUGGCUUCAGUGGACAGAGCCGUGCCUGACACCACCAGAGUGGGCUCAUUCAGAGUGAAGCCGGGUGAGCAGCUCCAGUGUCCGUGCUCAAGGCCGAGAAGCCUGAGGAGGGCUCAGGAAGUCGUGCAGCCCUCGGUGGGGGUACCGCAGUCCAGCAGCCAACUCCACAGAAACCUUGUGCUCACAGGGUUUGCGGCUCUCCCUUCUCUUCCCUUUCCUGAGUUCUUCUGCCAAGUACACCAAGCCUUCCUUGAAGCCACAGCAGGGUGCACCAAAGUAAGGCUGACUUCAGAAGUUGUAUAUUGCUGGUCCUUUUGUCACUACUGGCGAGAUGUAACUGGGUUCAGAGCUUUUUAUCUGAUAACGCGGAAAUAUCUAGCAACAUUGUAAAGUGGAGGGAGAAACUCAACUGUCCAACAAUGGGGACUGGUGAGUGUGAAUCAGAACCUCUAGAAUCAAUGAGAGGUCAGAGAAGCAUGCAGCGGAAGCAGAGAGCCAGAGAGCCAGGCUCUUCCACAGGGGUCAAGACCUGGCAGCAGUUUCCAGCUGGCAUACAACCCAGGAGCUGCUGUACCUGUGCCUCCAGCCUGGCUUAGGAAUGCGGGCCUCGAGUCUCUGUGAAGGAUUCUCCCGGGGGCUGUGAGCAAAACACAUUCUGUACAUACAGGCUCUGUUUUCAUGGAUGUGUGAUAGCCUGAGUGCAAAUUCACUUAACACUUUUCAACAGUUUCCCAAACCACAGAUGUUAAAAGUUCAACUCCAGCAGCUGGGGAGAUGGUCAUCCAGGCAAGUGCUUGUCACCCAGUUCUAUCCCCAGUAUCCACAUUUUAAGAAGGAAGGAAGGAGGGAAAGAAGGAAGGAAGGAAGGAAGGGAAGGGAAGGAGGGAGGAAGGAAGGAAGGAGGAGCCUGCUCCUGGGGUCACGACAGGAGGGCCCCUGGGGCCUGCUGACCAGUUGGUCUAGCUGAAUUGGCCAGCUCCAGGCUCAGGGACAGAGGGACAGUGACUAAGAAAGACACCGGCUAUCUGCUUCUGGCCUCCACACACGUACACAAGUGCACACACGAAAGCUCACCCCCUGCCAGUUAUUACACUGAGAUUUGAGAAGUUGUGUGGAGAGAGGAAGACAUUUCCAAUUUGAAAUGUUGGGGAGCUACUGUUCUGGUGAUAUUACAGGUGGAUUAAGUAUCCUCCUACAGCAAGACUGAAAAGGCAGUCCUACCCCAUGUAACCAUCCCCUGACAGGAAAAUGCAGGAUACUGAUUAAACCAAGUAAUGACUUAGCCAGUAACUUACAUUUAGAGAACCUGUUGUAAGUGACAAGUAAACUCACACAUAAUUGAGCCUGAAACAGAAAAUAGCCUAUAAUGUCCUAACUCCUAGUAGGUCAAAAAAUAAUACAGAAGAGUAAUAUCAAAACAGGAAGGCCAAGAAGGAGGGUCUUGAGAGUCAAGUGAUGGGAAAGAAGCAGAAACCCUUGCCUCAUCUGGAAAGCCUGGAUUCUAACCAUUUCCAUGACAUAAUACGACAGCAAUAAUCAUCUCAGAACUCGCUGGCUUCAAGCCAUGAAGGGAACUGAUGUUGGUCUCGGGUGUCUGUUGCAAUGGCAUCCUGCCAAGGAAAGCCUUCCCAGUUGCAUGGCAGAUCUAACCCCCGUGGCAUAUUGGAUCCCAUUCUUUAUGAACCUACCCAUCCCAUUCUUUAUGAACCUACCCAGCAUUGAAACUGAAGAAGUGAAGGCAUCCAGCUGCUCCAUAGGAAUGUUUGUUUUUAACUGACGCAUAAGAAGGUAAGAGUUAACAUACUGAGAAGUAACAUUAUGGAUUGAGCAGGCUGCAUUUAUAAAGUUAGGAAUGCACACACGUGUAAAAAACAAGUAAAAGGCCAUGAAUUUGAAAGACAGCAGGGUAGGGAACAUGGAAGGAGUUGGAGGUGGAAAAGGAAAAGAGGAAGGAUGUACUUAUACUAUAACCCCUAAAAGUAUACUUUGCAAAAGGUCAGAGUCAAAUGCAUUCAUGGGCCACUAUGGGAUACUACGUUUUCCUUUUCACCCAAGUUGUAUUCAGGAACAGUUCAGCUGAAUCAGGUAGAAGUGUCUGGAUGGAAACUGAACUGCAGUUUUAGCCACAGUAACUACUAGUUAUUGUAAAGUUGUUGACUUUAGAUUUCACUGAUGUGGGAAAUAACCAGAAAGCACAAAACCUUCCCCCAAACCAAAAGCCACAGCUGCCUCAAAGAAAAAUUAAAACUUCUACAAACAAAACUCUUUCAAAUAAAAUACUACUGACUCCCCAAUGUCUGAGAAGCAAG